GUUCCUGUAGCACAAUGGAUAGCGUUUUGGAUUUCUAAUCCAAAGGUAGUGGGCUCGAGUCCUACCAGGGAUA